rnacentral:piRNA from 1 species
AAAACAGACACAAAAAACAAAUA